rnacentral:rRNA from 1 species
CCUACGGGGGGCAGCAGUAGGGAAUAUUGCUCAAUGGGGGAAACCCUGAAGCAGCAACGCCGCGUGGAGGAUGAAGGUUUUAGGAUUGUAAACUGCUUUUGUACGAGGGUAAACGCAGAUACGCGUAUCUGUCUGAAAGUAUCGUACGAAUAAGGAUCGGCUAACUCCGUGCCAGCAGCCGCGGUAAUACGGAGGAUGCGAGCGUUAUCCGGAUUUAUUGGGUUUAAAGGGUGCGUAGGCGGAAUAUCAAGUCAGCGGUAAAAAUUCGGGGCUCAACCCCGUCGUGCCGUUGAAACUGAUGUUCUUGAGUGGGCGAGAAGUAUGCGGAAUGCGUGGUGUAGCGGUGAAAUGCAUAGAUAUCACGCAGAACUCCGAUUGCGAAGGCAGCAUACCGGCGCCCAACUGACGCUGAAGCACGAAAGCGUGGGUAUCGAACAGGAUUAGAUACCCCUGUAGUC